GUUCUUUUGUUUAUAUAAAAGAUUUGACCUGCUCAAUGAUUAUUAAUUUAAAUAGCUGCAGUAUUUUGACUGUACAAAGGUAGCAUAAUCAUUUGUCUUUUAAUUGAGGUCUGGAAUGAAUGGUUGGAUGAAAAAUAUACUUUUUUUAUUUUAAAUAAGAAACUUAAUUUUUAAGUCAAAAAGCUUAAAUUUAUUUAUAGGACGAGAAGACCCUAUAGAACUUUAUUCUUGAAUUUAUAAAUUUUUUUAAGUAAAAAAUAAUAGAUUUAUAUUUAUAGAAUUUUGUUGGGGUGACAAAAAAAAUCUAAUAACUUUUUUUAUUUCUUACAUAUAUAUAUGUAUUUUUGAUCCUUUUUUUGGAAAAAAGACUAAGUUACCUUAGGGAUAACAGCGUUAUUAUUUUGGAGAGUUCAUAUCGAUAAAAUAGUUUGCGACCUCGAUGUUGGAUUAAAAUAAGAUAUAGGAGUAGAACAUUAUAUUCUAGGUCUGUUCGACCUUUAAAUUUUUACA
rnacentral:rRNA from 1 species